UACGGAGGGUGCGAGCGUUAUUCGGAAUUACUGGGCGUAAAGCGCGUGUAGGCGGGAUGCAAGUCUGAUGUGAAAGCCCCGGGCUUAACCUGGGAAGUGCAUUGGAAACUGCAUUUCUUGAGUGCUGGAGAGGAAGGGGGAAUUCCCGGUGUAGAGGUGAAAUUCGUAGAGAUCGGGAGGAAUACCAGUGGCGAAGGCGCCCUUCUGGACGGCAACUGACGCUGAGACGCGAAAGCGUCGGGAGCAAACAUG
rnacentral:rRNA from 1 species